rnacentral:sRNA from 1 species
CCAUUCUGCAGUCGUGAGAGAGCAAAGCACAGAGAAAUUAAGUAACCUGCCCAAGGUCACACAGCCAGGAAGCAGGAGGGAUUGAAGGGUGGGGCCUGCACUGGGGCAGUGACUGUGUGCAGGCAGAGAAGGGGAGAGGGCCCAGAGCCUUCCAGGGGCUACAUCAGUGGGUGUGAGCUCUCCGGGAUGGGAACACACGAGCCAGCGAGGUCAGAUACACCAAGCCCUUUGCCUCCCCAGCUCGGAAGCAGCUCCCGAAACGGACCAUUCAGGAAGUCCUGGAAGAGCAGAGUGAGGAUGAGGACAGAGAAGCCAAGAGGAAGAAGGAGGAGGAAGAAGCGGAGACCCCGAAAGAAAGCCUCACAGAGGCUGAAGUGGCAACAGAGAAGGAAGGAGAAGACAGGGACCAGGCCACCACGCCUCCCAAGCCCCUAAAGACCUCCAAAGCAGAGACCCCGACGGAAAGCGUUUCAGAGCCUGAGGUGGCCACGAAGCAGGAACUGCAGGAGGAGGAAGAGCAGACCAAGCCUCCCCGCAGAGCUCCCAGGACGCUCAGCAGCUUCUUCACCCCCCGGAAGCCAGCAAUCAAAAAAGAAGUGAAGGAAG